GUCGCUCCUUUGUCAGGCCUGAACAUUGUCUCUGGAGUUCUGUACUUGUUAUCCUUAUCCUUCCCAUGUCUUCCUCCUCUUUCAGGAGCUAGGAGAAUUGGGAAAGUACCUGGAUUAUCAGCAAGGAUGGUGGGAAGGAGGAAUAUGAGCACACACUGCACUUUCCAUCUGAAGUUGCAAGACAACAUGAAGGUUCUUAGGAAGGUGGUGAACCACUUGGGUGCCCAGCUGCUGUCCAUUCUCUACACUUAUCCCACCUGAUGGAAGGCUGUUAAGAAAAACAUCACUGCAAUGCCUAAUAAACAGACAUGGGUCCCAGACCCAAUAAGAGUGAAACCAUCCCCCUAUUUAAAUGAAAUUAUGGCUGAUGAGAAAGACAAAUUAAUUUCUCUGUCCCUAGUAUUACACAAAACUUUGGAUGCUGCCAUUGUUACAAUUUUAUUUUCCCCA
rnacentral:lncRNA from 10 species